CGACUAUGGUUCGAAUCUACUGCUAAUGACAAAUGGAAAGCCCAAUCAAUUGGGAACCCAACCACCCAGUGGGUAUAAAAAACGAAACUUUCCUGCUACACCGACCAAGGUCGUCGUUGGAUUUUCUGAAAAUCCUGCUAAUUUCUUUUUGAGUCCAAUUGACGUAGGAUAUCAGUCUUUUUUGACAGAUCUCGAAAAUCUCUUUUCGUCAAUUCCCGCAGACAAUUUUCACGAGCCUCACCCGACCGCUGGAUUACCUCGCGUUGCUUGUUUUACGGACGACGGCCUGCAUUAUCGUGCAAAAAUCUUGAUUAUCGUUGAAGAUGUUGCAAACAUAUUUUUUGAGAGCCAUCCAAAUAUAAACAAUAAAAAAGAAACCAUUA